GGGAUUAGUAGAGUGGCAAACGGGUGAGUAACGCGUGGGUGACCUGCCUCANAGUGGGGGAUAACCUUCCGAAAGGAGGGCUAAUACCGCAUGACAUACCGUGUUUGGAUACACGGAUAUCAAAGCCGGGGAUCGCAAGACCUGGCGCUUGGAGAGGGGCCCGCGUCCGAUUAGCUAGUUGGUGGGGUAACGGCUCACCAAGGCUCCGAUCGGUAUCCGGCCUGAGAGGGCGGACGGACACACUGGAACUGAGACACGGUCCAGACUCCUACGGGAGGCAGCAGUGGGGAAUUGUUCGCAAUGGGCGCAAGCCUGACGACGCAACGCCGCGUGGAGGAUGAAGACUUUCGGGUCGUAAACUCCUUUCGACCGAGAUGAAUUUCCCGCGACCUAACACGUCGCGGGAGUGACAGUAUCGAGGGAAGAAGCCCCGGCUAACUCCGUGCCAGCAGCCGCGGUAAUACGGGGGGGGCAAGCGUUGUUCGGAAUUACUGGGCGUAAAGGGUUUGUAGGUGGCUUGCUAAGUCAGACGUGAAAUCCCUCAGCUUAACUGGGGAACUGCGUCUGAUACUGGUGAGCUUGAGUGCAGGAGAGGAACGCGGAAUUCCAGGUGUAGCGGUGAAAUGCGUAGAUAUCUGGAGGAACACCGGUGGCGAAGGCGGCGUUCUGGACUGCAACUGACACUGAGAAACGAAAGCCAGGGGAGCAAACGGGAUUAGAUACCCCGGUAGUCCUGGCCCUAAACGAUGAAUGCUUGGUGUGGCGGGUAUCGAUCCCUGCCGAGCCGAAGUUAACGCGUUAAGCAUUCCGCCUGGGGAGUACGGUCGCAAGGCUG
rnacentral:rRNA from 1 species